rnacentral:lncRNA from 1 species
CUACUGUGCGCCAGACUGAGUCUAAAACCUACGCUAUUGCAAAUUUCUAUAACAUAAACUUCUAGUACUUUAAAUUUCAAUAUACCAGCUGUAGAGACACUCACUCUUGCUUGACCAUGUCUAGUAAUAUGGAGGCAAUUCUCUUUUGAGGUUGCCUAUUCUCCUUUAAAAUAUUAAUGCUAUGGUUCCUGAUACACACAAGAAGAAUUAAGCUGAUUUCUUUUUUAUAUAGCAAAGCUCUAGAUAUCUGAAUGUAGCCAUAAUUAUCCCACCCUAUUCAGUUUAUCCAACUAAUGGGUUCUCGUCUUCAAGCUUCAUUUAUCCUACAUCUGCCAACAUAACUCAUAGAAUAUUAUUAAUUAGCCAGUCAAUCCCCCGGA